GGGGAAGAACCCUCCCCGUUCUUCCCUGUAAUAUUUGGGCCACACCAACACUCUCCAUCACUGCACGGCUACCAGGAGAGCUGCAUAAACCACCAACAAAUUCAAAAAUGCAAGUUUUUUCUUCAAGCAUUUCCCCAUCACUAGCUCAGGUGCUGGUGGUUUUUCCAUUCCACGCAAGAAAUCUACAUUUGAACCCUCAUAUCCCACGCUAUGUUUUGUGGGAACAGAAUUGGGGUCCAACAACCUUGCCAAUAUUCCCAGGCUGGUUGGGGUGUAGUAUAAAGUAAAGAGCCUGUCUUAGAGGCACCUUUGGCACCUGGCACCUGCAAGGCUCGAUUUGGGAUGUCUCAGUAAUCACCUGCUUAACGGGGAAAGCUCAAGGAGCCAGAGAACAGGAAUUGCACCUUUCCCAUCCCCAUUUUCCUGGCAGCAGGAGCAGUUUGCUGCAGCUCGUGUUCCCAUCUAUUCUGGAGCUGAAGGCGUGAAAACAAACGGAGGCUGAUUACGCCCCGCUCCGAGGAAUGGUGCGGAUGUGAGAAGCAGCAGAAAAACUUGCUCACUUGGUGUUUUCCUGAGUGCCUGCCAGAGCUGCAUCUGCUCCUGGACCGACGCUGCCUGGCUGCUAGAAGAGAAGAAUUUGAAUAAUUUCUGUCAUGUGGAGGAAGAGGGAGCAGAGAGCCACCCUGAUGGCCUUUGGGAGCUGAAAACUGAUGCUCGUGUUUAUUGGCUGCCAUGUAAGAUACAUCAAUGUAUGGAUUUUUCUGGGUUUUUUGGGGUUUUUUUUCCUUUUAUAGUAGUGCUUUUGGUUAUUAUUUCAGGGGAUGAGCUUGAAAGGGCUCUGGGUUUGUGUGCCUCUUAGAAAUCUUGAAUCCUUUAUUGAGCAGAUCCUAAAAUCCUACUCCUGGUGCCCCACUGUGGGAGUAUAAUUCAAAUCCCCCUCUUCUCUCUUCUUGAGUCUCUUUAUUCCCUGUUUUUACACAUGGAGAUGUGUGUAUGGAUCAAGCCUCCAUCCCAAAUGGACUAUUCUAAGUACUGGGCCACAUAAAAGCCAGAAAUAUCCAAUAAAAUCAGACCUGGUGAAACCAAAUAAAGUAAGAAAAGCAACAGGCAGAGAAGCUCUGCAGAACUGCAGCAAGAGCUGCUGAGAGGCUUUCUCCAGUCCAGCCUCCCCAGCCUCAGAUCCUCUUGCUUCUGUCUUGGAACUGGGAGGGAGGGAAGAGCAUGAACAGAUGUGAUUCCUUGCAGAGGAAGGAGGCACCUUGGUUCAUGGUGAGGAGACCCUCAGAACCUUCCAGACACUGGGCUGGGAGAGCUUUCUGCUGCCCUUUCCCUCUCCUUUCUUCCCAUCUCUCAGCACCACCUCUUCAGAGAGCUGGGACUGCUUUAAACCCAUUUAUUUGGAGCCAAGGAGGGAGGGAGGUGGAGAAAUACAAUUACUGGGUCAGUGAUUUGUCUCCUGCAAGGCUCCCAGGGUGCAGCGUGUCUGCUGGAACAAAAAUCACCAUUCAUCUGGCCCUGAUAAUUCCAUAAAAGGCUCCAGGUCCAGGGAUGAAAUAGAGCCAUUCCCAAGGAAGUGCCUGCAUUUUGAUGGAUGCCUCAGGCAGCUGCUCUCUCUGGGAUGAGCAGUUCUCUGCUGCAGGACAGACCUCAGCACCCCAAAAUGGGCCCUUUCCUUAUCCCCAGCCAAAGGGAAAGGGCUGGGGGAUCCAUUGGGAUGCCAGUGGCUCUUGCUCAGGCUCUCUGUUCAGCCUCUAAUCCCUAGGGAUACCCUGGGUGUGUUUGGAGGCUGGGAGGGAUGUGGGUCUCUGAGCUGAGCUGUGUCUUUAUGCUAAAGCGUUUUAAAUUGCAUGAAAAAAUGUGAUAUUAAAUUAAAAAUAAUAAAAAAAGGCAUUUAAUUAGGAGAA